AGCCUUCUUAAUAGAAUCUGCUGACUUGAAAAUAGUAGAGACAGUAGAUGGAGUCAAGAUGGUGGGCCAGCAAUGCUAUUAGUGUUAAGACACGAAGGGUUGAUACUGGUAGAGCAGUCCAACCUGGGGACACUUCACCUCUGGUCUAGUUCCUGAGAGAGAGAGAGAGAGAGAGAGAGAGAGAGAGAGAGAGAGAGAGAGAGAGAGAGAGAGAGAUCAUCAAGAAGUAGCAGGCUUAAGUUUAAUCUAAUGAACUUAAAACAGUUUUAUCUAUGUAGUGGUGGAAUGCUGGAACAGGUAUGAAUUAGGAUUAUUGAUGCACACAUUAUUAUACCUGUACCUUGUUUUUGUACAAGGACUGACAGGUUUACACAUCAUAAAGCUCCAUGUAUGUGGUCUUGCCAUGUCAGCCAGCUGAUAUAUCUUCCCUUCUUGCAGGUAUGGAAUCCAGCAGUCACCAUCUCUCCUAGUUAUUCUGUUGAUUUAUCAGGAAACUUACAAGCUGCUUCAAGGAUAACCACUUCUUGAGUGUGUGUGAUUUGUAGAAGGCAGAUACGUCCACUCAACACCUUAGAUUUUCAGUGAUGCAUAUAAUAUCAGGAAACGACAGAAUUUAAAGAAAGACGAGCAUUUUUAGUGGCUGGGGUCAUGAAAAUACUGUCAUCCCUUGCCGAACACGAAUCGGUAAAAUAUACCAUAAUUUCGCCUUGAAUCUCCUGCUGGUCCUGGUGGAUGCACGCGACCUCCCCUCCCAAGUGUCUUAGACUCACCCUGGGGCUGGCGGUAUCACGCUGCCUCGUGCCACUAGCUCUCUCCUUGUCGCCCAACACGACGAGCUCAGGAACCUAACCGUCGUGUUGGCGAGGUAUGUUCCUGACAGUAUUAUAUCCUUUAAUAAAAUUUUAUUAUUUUUAUUAUAUCUUUUCAGAUCAAAUGAAGGUAAACUUCUAUUACAUGGAAUGUUGCUUCUCAACCAUCAAGGAGUAGUUUGAGGCUCCAGGACAACUGUAGAGAAAAAAAGCACAGGUAGCCUUCAGAGAUGUGUGGUGUGGUGAGAUCAUCAGGGAGAGGGUGCUGCUCUUAUCACCUCCAUGAGCAGGUCUCGGGGAGGCUUCCUCUUGUGACUGGUCUGAGGCAGGUGAUAACAUGGCAGGACAAGAGGUAAGUGCUUCAGUGGAAGGCAGCUGUGCUCCCCACAGUGGGUAUACUCCUGUCCUCACUCAGCGAUAUGAUGUACCAUGAUGCCUGCCUCUUGCUGGUCUCUAGAUCCCAGUGCACUUUCCCAGUGCACUUUACUUCGUGGGUGUGUUGUCAUGCAGCUCUCCUCGCUUGCUUCCAGCUGGGUGGCAUAUGCCUGGUGGGACCUGUGGCAGCUAAUUUGACAACCUCAGUGUCCCCAUAUUCCCACGUGACUGGGAAUCCAGUACAGCCUAACAUGUAUCCCCUGCUUGGCAAAGAUAUGGAGGUGAUGGGAUACUGCGCUGCAAGACCUGCAGCGCUGACUAAGUUGGUGUAGAAGACUGUCACCUCUGGGGAGGGCAUCUGCAUACUUGAGCAGUGCUGUGCCCAGCUGGAAGGGGAAAACAACCAGCUGUUCCAUCAACAGCAGGUUGAGAAUGAUUGGGCUGAGAAUGCUGCCGUGGGGCGUCCCGUUCUUGAGCUUCCACUGAAGCUGAACUUGUGGCCCUGCAAUUUAACCCAGGUGAGAUGGUGCUGGAGGUAGUCCUGGACCCAGGUGAGUUUCUUCCUCCCUCGAACCCCUUUCCUUGCCAGGGUGGCCAGCUUGAAAGCUUUCUCCAGGUUGAGGAAGACUACAGCAGUGGUUGACCCGAGUCAGGAGGGAGAUGAUGAUGACUCUGUCUGCUAUGCUUAAGCCCCUGGUGAACGUCCAUGUACAGCAGGCGGCCCACCUAUCCAGGACAAGUUGAGCAGGGACAGCAGUGCAGCAUCUCUGGCUGCAGGACCUGAUGUGGUAGCCUGAGUGUUGGAGGCUCACCCAGUGAAGGUAUAGGUGAGCGCCUCUGUCUACUGCUUUGGGUGUGGGCGGGGGAAGCAGUAUUGCUUUCCCCCACAGCUGAAGGUGGUGCACCAUUGCAGCCCCUUUACCUUCUUAACUCAGUG